rnacentral:rRNA from 1 species
GACGAACGCUGGCGGCGUGCUUAACACAUGCAAGUCGAACGGAAAGGCCCUGCUUUUGUGGGGUGCUCGAGUGGCGAACGGGUGAGUAACACGUGAGUACCUGCCCUUGACUUUGGGAUAACUUCAGGAAACUGGGGCUAAUACCGGAUAGGAGCUCCUGCUGCAUGGUGGGGGUUGGAAAGUUUCGGCGGUUGGGGAUGGACUCGCGGCUUAUCAGCUUGUUGGUGGGGCAGUGGCUUACCAAGGCUUUGACGGGUAGCCGGCCUGAGAGGGUGACCGGCCACAUUGGGACUGAGAUACGGCCCAGACUCCUACGGGAGGCAGCAGUGGGGAAUAUUGCACAAUGGGCGGAAGCCUGAUGCAGCAACGCCGCGUGCGGGAUGACGGCCUUCGGGUUGUAAACCGCUUUCGCCUGUGACGAAGCGUGAGUGACGGUAAUGGGUAAAGAAGCACCGGCUAACUACGUG